rnacentral:tRNA from 1 species
AGGAAGAGCAAGAAAACAAUAAGUCCUGCUAAGACCUAUUCCCAUGGUUAAAUUCCGUGGCUUUCUU